rnacentral:misc_RNA from 1 species
CAGAAAGUUGUCAAAGGCAAUCCUUAUCCCAGGAGCUAUUAUAAAUGCACAACCUCAGGCUGCAAAGUCCGUAAACAUGUUGAGAGAGCUGCAACAGACCCAAGAGCAGUUAUAACAACAUAUGAAGGCAAACAUAAUCAUGAUGUUCCUGCUGCUAAAGGGAGCAGCCAAGGCACAACCAGUAGUAACCCAACUGAUCUAAAACAACAAAAUGUAGAGAAGCAUGCCUUAGAUAAUAUGAGAGACUUUGGUACUAAUAAUCAACAACCUAUAGCACGGCUGCGGUUAAAAGAAGAGCAGAUAACAUAAUUUCCUUGAGUUAUCAUGAAAAGCAGGAUAACACAGACAUUUACUAUGAAUCAUGAACUUACUGUAAGAUAAGAGAGAAGUCAAUCUGGGCCUAACUUUCUUGGACCCAGUUAGAAGACACUACUGUUUUAUGUAAACAGGUUAGCGGGUAUAUUUCAUUGGAAUCCUGUUAUGUGCAUUCUUUUGUACAUUAUCUGGAAGUAAUGUUGCUUAUAGUUGUUAACAAAUCACAACUGUUUUUUUUAGGAAAAUAUCUGCAUUCUCAAAUGCAUAAUCCAAAUAAAACAGUUGUGAUUUGUUAACAACUAUA